GACGAACGCUGGCGGCGUGCUUAACACAUGCCAGUCGAACGGAAAGGCGCUGCUUUUGUUGGGUUCUCGAGUGGCGAACGGGUGAGUAACACGUGAGUAUCCUGCCCUUGACUUUGGGGUAACUUCAGGAAACUGCGGCUAAUACCGGAUAGGAGCUCCUGCUGCAUGGUGGGGGAUGGAAAGUUUCGGCGGUUGGGGAUGGACUCGCGGCUUAUCAGCUUGUUGGUGGGGUAGGGGCUUACCAAGGCUUUGACGGGUAGCCUGCCUGAGAGGGUUGACGGGCACAUGGGGACUGAGAUACGGCCCAGACGCCUACGGGAGGCAGCAGUGGGGAAUAUUGCACAAUGGGCGGAAGCCUGAUGCAGCAACGCCGCGUGCGGGAUGACGGCCUUCGGGGUGUAAACCGCUUUCGAAUGUGACGAAGCGGGAGUGACGGUAAUGGGUAAAGAAGCAACGGCUAACUACGUG
rnacentral:rRNA from 1 species